UCUCGGUGCGCACGAUAGCAAGGUAGCUAACGUAUGCAUAUACUGAGGAAUGGCCCCUCGACGUACUACGACAAUAGUCACCUCGAUGAGUGGAAUACAAAAGCAACUAGCACCUUUAACAUUUGGAAACUUCCUACCUCACUUAAUUCAAUCUAUUUGUGAGGAUAAAGAGCUAGAGUCAAAAAUGGAGAUACGCCCUGACCCAGCUGGGAAGAGAAUUUCUAGGAGACUAGAGGAUUCGCAAUUCCCUCGGCGUCUCUAAAUCUUUUAAGCUGGUACUUCAGCUUAUACGAUUCCAGACGUAUCUGGUACAUCGAAUCAAGGGAUACCGAUGGGGAAAUCAAAAAAGAAGGUAGAAAUGGAGAAGGAGCAACGCAUGCACGGAAUCGCAGCUCCCAAAUGGGCUAACCUCUUACCUAUAUUCCCUCAUCGACGAAGGGAGAGAAGAUAGUAGUGGAAAUUGAUGAUGAGGCCAUUUACGAACAGAUAAAUUACUGGAGCACAACGCUGAUUCGAUAUGUUCUGGGAGAUUCCCCUUUCUUCAAAACAAUGGAAGACUAUAUUGCUCAUGUAUGAAAGUUUGUCACUAAACCACAUGUAUUGUAUCGUGAUGAUGGAUACUCUAUUUUCAAAUUUGCGUCUAUAGCAGAUAGAGAACUAGUGAUGCAAUUAGGCCCAUAUACGUACAAAAAUUGCCUGUUGAUAUUGAGGAAUUGUGCCUUAGAUUUUGAGUUCAAUCCUGAAUGUUUAAACAAAAUUCUACUGUCGGCAAAAUUUCCCAGCCUCCCGCUUGGAUACUGGUCAAAGAAGGCACUGAGAAAACCAGCAAACAUUGUGGGGAAACCCAUGUAUACAGAUAAAUGCACUGCUGCAAUGGAGCAAAUUUCUUAUGCCAGAGUUUUAGUCGAAGUGGAUAUCAGCCACCUCCUUCCUAAGCUGGUGAAAUUGAACACCCUAACAAGGGUCAUACAACAGGAAAUAACAUAUGACUGAAUCCCUAAAUUCUGUGCAGACUGCAAUAUUUAUGGGCAUACAGGUGAUGAAUGUCCACAUAAGAAGAUGCAUAUGCAAGUGAAUAAGCCAGAAGCCCAACGACAACAACGAAGAAGGAGAGGGAAUAGAAAGCGUAGGGUGAUAGUCCAGAGACGGGAAACUAAGAAGGAUGCAUACCCUGACCCUGUAGCACCCUAGAUACCCCCAAAUAAAACAAAAAAUUAGGAAGGUUCAAAAGAACAAAGAGGGGAGCAAAGGAAAAAUUCACAGUAAGAGAUCAAUUCUGAUCUGCUCACAACACAGGCCCCUAUAGUUGUUGAGAUGGUUCAAAGAACAUAGAGAAAAGGGAAGGAGGUCGAAAUAGAGAAAGUAGAGUUUAGUACUGGAGAUGGGAUUCAGUUCUAACCACCAUGAUUGUGUGCCCAUAGAAUAUAAGAGGGCUGAACAGGCCUUUUAAACAGAAAGAGCUGAAACUCUUUCUGAGAAAGAAUAAUGUAGCAGUAAUUGGGGUAAUUGAAACCAGAGUUUAGUAGCAUAAUGUUGCUAGAAUAAAGGCUAAUAUAGCCAAAGACUGGACUACGCAUUACAACUACUGUGAGGCCACAAAUGGGAGAAUUUGGCUGUUGGGGAAACAACAUAUACAGGUGCAGAUGUUAGAGAUGGGAGCACAAUAUAUCCACAACCAAGUAAAUAAUGUCAAUACCAAUACCUCCUUUUUACUAAUGAUAAUAUAUGCUAGUAAUGAACUGGGUAAGAUACAAGAACUAUGGAGAAAACUUACAAGUUUAAAACUAAGGUCCAAAGGGAGUGUUUAGUGAUAGGGGAUUUCAACACUGUCUUGAGUUCUAAAGAUAGGAUUGGAGAUCCAGUGACUCAACAAGAGGUGCAAGGAUUCAAAGACUUAGUUGAAACAAAUCUAUUUACUCCCUUAAAAUCCACAGGGAGUCAUUUCACAUGGUGUAAUAAACAGGUGGACACUAAUAGAGUUUAUAGUAAAAUAGAUUGAGCAUUUAGGAACUAUUGGUGGCUGUAGAGAUAUGGCCACAUAGAUACAAACUAUAUGCUACUAGGAGUAUCUGACCACUCUUCUAUACUGAUAAAUUGCCAGGGUAUAACUCUAAAAGCUUUGCAUCCUAAACCCUUCAAACUAUAUACCAUCCAGAGUUCAGGAAAAAGGUGAGAGAGGCAUGGUCCAUUGUGAUCCAGGGUGAUUCUAUGAAGGUUCUUUGAGGGAAAACUAAGAUCUAUAAAAGUAUCUAUGAAGGAGAUCAAUAUGUGUUAUGCUGCUUAUCAACAAAAGUUGGAGAAUGCUAGACAAAGCUUGGAAAGAGAUCAAGCUGGAAUUGCUGUAAACCCAAGGAACUCAUCACUGUUUGACCAGGAAAAAUAGGCUAUGGCUGAGGUUGAAAAAUAAAGUACCAUAGAGAAACAAGUGUAUAGACAAAAAUCUAGAGCUACAUGGAUCAAAUGUGGAGACUCAAAUACGAUAUAUUUCCAUGCUCAAUGGAAAAUUAGAUCUAGAGCAAAUGCUAUUAACUCAAUUCAUAAUGAUGCAGGUACAAAUCUGACUGAUCCUGAAGUUAUUGAAGCAGAGUUCAUCACUUUUCUUCCAACCUUAUGGGACAGGAGGGGGAUGUACACCCUUGGCCAGAUGCAGAGAUAGUGCAAAGGGGGUAUUGCCUAACCAGAGAGCAACAAAUACUGCUGAUUCAACAGGUAACAAUUGAGGAAGUACAGACAAUAAUCAAAUUGAUGCCAAAGGAGAAAGCCCCAGGUGUAGAUAUGUUCCAAAUUGAAUUCUUCACCACAUGCUGGGAUGAGGUACAAGAUGAUUUGUUGAAUGUUGGUUUUUAUUUCUUCAACACAAAUGAGUUAGGAAAUGGAGUCAACUGUGCAGCUGUAACCUUGGUCCCUAAAACUAAUGCCCCUACUUAUAUAAAAGAUUAUAGGCCAAUUGUUUGUUGCACCACUGUCUAUAAGAUCAUCACCAAAGUGCUUACUGGUAGAUUGAAAAAUGUAAUUGGUGAACUGAUAGGAGAAGCUCAAUCUGCAUUUAUCGAGUUAAGAACAAUAGCUAAUAAUAUUCUAUUUGUGCAUGAGUUAUUUAAUGGUUACAACAGAAAAGGUAUUUCCCCAAGAUGUGUUCUUAAAGUAGACAUUAGAAAGGCUUAUGAUUCCUUAGAUUGGGCUUUUCUAAAGAGAUUGAUGAUAGAGCUACGUUUUCCUUGCAAAUUUGUGGGGUAGAUCAUGUCGUGUAUAAACUCUUGUCUCCUACUCCUUGACUAUAAAUUGAGGCUUAACAAAACCAUUCAAAGGUAAAAGAGACAUUAGACAGGGAGAUAUAAUGUCUCUAAAUCUUUUUGUUAUUGCAAUGGAAUACCUAAGUAGAGUGCUUAAACAACUAGCAAAGCAUAAGGAGUUCUAAUUUUACCUUAGAUGCAAGAAAGUAAGGGCAAUUUAUGUGUGUUUUGCUGAUAAUUUGUUGCUAUUCUGUAAGGUUGAUUUAAGCUCUAUUAGACUAAUGAACCAGGCCUUCAUAAAAUUUUCCCAAGAAUCAGGGCUGCAGGUUAAUAUUGACAAAAAUUCUCUAUUCGUGGAUGGAGUUACUAAAUAGAUGAAAAGAGAAAUACUAUAAGAAAUAGCCUACUGUGAAGGAAGGCUACAAUUGAUAAAAGCAGUGAUAUUUGGAAUGCAAUCUUACUAGGCUCAAGACUUCCUGAUCCCUAAAAAGGUGUUGAAAUGUAUAGAGACAAUCUACAGAUCUUAUUUAUGGACAGGGCAAGCGGCGGUAUCUAAAAAGGCAUUAGUUUCCUGGGAAAAGGUAAACCUUCCCCAGUCAACCGGUGGUCUAAAUAUGUUAAACUUGAUCAUGUGGAAUAACGCUGCUAUUAAAAAGCACCUAUAGGAACUAGCACGAAAGAAAGACUAUUUGUGGAUAAAGUAGCUACACAGUUUUUACAUAAAAUAACAGACUCUGGACCAUAUGUCCCACGAAUAUUUCUUGGGUGCUACGGAAGAUAAUGAAUGUAAGGAAACUGGUAAUGGAAAUACAAAUAGUGUAGAGGGACUUGUUGAGUGGGCUGCAAAAGUUACAGAAGGGAGAGAAGUUUCGCAUAAAAAAAAUCUAUUUGCGGCUGUUACCUCAAUAUCUAAAAGCACCUUGGCAAAAGCUGAUCCUGCAUCCUAAUAUGCAACCUAGCCUUAAGUUUUAACUUAUGGCUAUCCCUACAAAAGAGAUUGGCAACAGUGGACAGGCUGAUAAAGAUAGGGAUAAAGGUUCCCUAAAUCUGUGUCUUCUGUUGACUAGCUGAUGAGGUCUUUGAACAUCUGUUCUUUGCUUGUAGCAUCAUAAAAGGAAUAUGAAGAAUAAUACUCACAUGGCUGGGACAGAAUAGAAGUAUGGGAAACUGGGAGACAGAGAUAGAAUGGCUCUUGAAAGGCAUGAAACAGACUCCUGACCUCUGGGAAUUAACUGCAGUUGGUUUCAGCAUGAUGAUGUGGUUCUAGAAGGAGAGCUACUCAAGUGACAGAAUUUGUAGAGAUAUUACAAUUCAUAUACACACAAGAGGGGUCCAAGUUACAAGAUGGCAGAAGCGAUUAAAGUCUAUAAACUCAUAUCCCUAAUGCUUUUUUUUAUUGAUUAGGAAGUAGACUCAAAUGUAAAAAGUAUUGUACGUAUAUGGUAUAGGACAGAAUAGAGAGGGUGAUUGGUCAGUAAUCACCAUGCUUUGUAAGGAACUAUACUUUUUGAUGAAAUGAAACUACAAUUUACCCAAAAAAAAAAAAAAUGUAUAACAUGAUUAUUAUCUCGUGC